UACGGAGGUCCCAAGCGUUGUUCGGAUUUACUGGGCGUAAAGGGAGCGCAGGCGGAUCGGUAAGUGGAAAGUGGAAUUCCGGGGCUCAACCUCGGAAGUGCUUUCCAAACUGUCGGUCUUGAGUACGUGAGAGGAAGGCGGAAUUCAGGGUGUAGCGGUGAAAUGCUUAGAUAUCCUGAGGAACACCAAUGGCGAAAGCAGCCUUCUGGCACGAAACUGACGCUGAGGCUCGAAAGCGUGGGGAGCGAACAGG
rnacentral:rRNA from 1 species